rnacentral:rRNA from 1 species
UACAGAGGGUGCAAGCGUUGUUCGGAAUUAUUGGGCGUAAAGCGCGUGUAGGCGGCUUUGCAAGUCGGGUGUGAAAGCCCUCGGCUCAACCGAGGAAGUGCGCCCGAAACUGCAGAGCUUGAGUACCGGAGAGGAUGGCGGAAUUCCCCAAGUAGAGGUGAAAUUCGUAGAUAUGGGGAGGAACACCGGUGGCGAAGGCGGCCAUCUGGACGGAUACUGACGCUGAGACGCGAAAGCGUGGGUAGCAAACAGGAUUAGAAACCCCCGUAGUCC